rnacentral:lncRNA from 1 species
GUACAUGCUACCUAGCAUGUUUGGUCUAUCUCUGAAGGGCAAGAAAUAAUGACAGGAGAAAGUUAAAGGAGUGUUGAUCCCCGAGAAAGACUUAAGAGGGGGUUUUUUUGGUACCAGGGAUCGAAUUCGGGACCUUGCACUUGUGAGGCAGGUGGUGGAACCACUGAACUACAUCCCAGGCCCUACAUUUGGCUUUUAAAUAAAAUAUGAGAGACAACUGUUGAGAAAGACUGAAACAAAUACUUUGGUGCUUGUCUUAAUGACUUUCCAUGUCGCUGGGACACAAUACUCGACACCCACAACUUAAAGGAGCAGACGUUUUUAGCCCAUUGUUGGCCAGUUCCAAUGCAGGAAAGCAUGGAAGAAGGGUCUGGGAGAGGAAAGUUCAUCACCGCAUGGUGGCCAGGAAGCAGAGCAUGAAGGGAGGAGCCCAGAAGGAAGACACACCCUUCCAGGCCAAGGCCCACCUCUUCCAACCAGAUGCCACCUCCUACCACCAAGUCAGCCUUAAGCGCCCAUGGCCUAAUCCUCUUCCAACGUCCUGCCUGUGAGGACCUGAGGUCUUUGGGGGACAUUCUCCACAUAAACCAUGGCAGUGCUUAGAAGCACAAGAUCCAGAAAACACAUGGAGCUCUCCUGGCAUGGUGUGCUAGUCAGUUAGAGUAGGUAGAGUUGAAUAGAGAGGGAGAGAUAAAAUGUGAUUUAUGCAAAAGUAAAGGUCCAAUAGCAGAACGAAAUUACAUUAACAUGGUGAGAAAAAGGUGACUUGUGAAAACUCUAAGGUCACAAUGAUUAAAGAACACCAAAGAAGAGAUUCACCUCAUUUGGGCUACAUUUCUCUUGUAUAAUUGGUAGUAUAAUUGACAAGUAUUUCAUGAUCUCAGGUCUUCAGUAAAGGCUUUGGAGAAGGUUUGGAGAUAAUGAAAAAUGCAAUAUGAGGUUUUUAGUGAGGAAAGGGUUGGGGAGGAAAAGGCAAAAGGAAGAGAGAACACAUCUGCACUGAAUGAAGCUGUGAUAUCACAUUAGAAACAUAGAGAGUGGAAGACACAGAUCCUCAGAAGCAAAUUCUCCACAAAAACUUAAAUCCCUGUAAACUUGACAAGAUUUUGGAGAUUUCUCAUUGAACAUGGUGCACAGGGUCAGUGGUUUUGUUCUGCUUUGGGAUAUCAAGGAGCCUUCUGACAUGUAGGGUUUCCUACUGCAUUUGAGAGAGGAGCCAAGAUAACUUAAAUUGAAUGUGAAACAGUUUGCUCAAUGCCACCAGCAUUUGGAUUAUGCCUAUACAGCAACAUUUAAAAAGUGGGAUAUUUUCAAAACGAAUAAAAUUAUCAUGAUGUUAAGUAUAACUUAACGUGAUAACAUUAACAGUUUUUAACAAAACAAGUCAAAUUAUCACAC